UACGGAGGGUGCAAGCGUUGCUCGGAAUUAUUGGGCGUAAAGGGUAGGUAGGUGGUCUUAUUUGUCUGGGGUGAAAGCCUUGAGCUUAACUCAAGAAGUGCCCCGGAAACGGUGAGACUGGAGUCUUGGAGAGGGUCGUGGAAUUCCCGGUGUAGCGGUGAAAUGCGUAGAGAUCGGGAGGAACACCAGAGGCGAAGGCGGCGACCUGGACAAGUACUGACACUCAACUACGAAAGCGUGGGGAGCAAACAGG
rnacentral:rRNA from 1 species